rnacentral:SRP_RNA from 1 species
GCCGGGCGCGGUGGUAUGUGCCUGUAGUCCCAGCUACUCGGGAGGCUGAGGUGGGAGGAUCGCUUGAGCCCAGGGUUCUGGGCUGUAGUGCGCUAUGCCGAUCGGUUGUCCGCACUAAGUUCGGCAUCAAUAUGGUGACCUCCCGGGAGCGGCGGACCACCAGGUUGCCUAAGGAGGAGUGAACCGACUCAGGUUCAGAAACGGAGCUGGUCAAAACUCCCAUGCUGAUCAGUAGUGGGAUGGCGCCUGUGAAUAGCCACUGCACUCCAGCCUGGGCAACAUAGCAAGACCCUGUCUCU